UACGUAGGGGGCAAGCGUUGUCCGGAGUUACUGGGCGUAAAGCGCACGCAGGCGGCCUCUUAAGUUUGGAGUGACAGUUGGUGGCUUAACUGCCAAAGUGCUUCGAAAACUGAGAGACUUGAGGGCUUCAGAGGGACACGGAAUUCCGGGUGGAGUGGUGAAAUGCGUAGAGAUCCGGAGGAACACCAAAGGCGAAGGCAGUGUCCUGGGGAGUACCUGACGCUCAGGUGCGAAAGCCAGGGGAGCGAACGGG
rnacentral:rRNA from 1 species